GAUGAACGCUGGCGGCGUGCCUAAUACAUGCAAGUCGAGCGAACAGACCAUGAUCUUGCUCCUCUCACGUUAGCGGCGCACGUGUGUGUAACACGUGUAUAACCUACCUAUAAUACUGGUAUAACUUCGUGAAUCCGGAUCUUAUACCGUAUAAUAUAUUGAUCCGUAUGGUUCUAUAGUGAAAUUCGGUUUUUCUGUCUCUUAUCGAUGGAUCCUGGCGGCAUUAGUUAGUUGGUAAGGUAACGGCUUACCAAGGCAACGAUGCGUAGACGACCUGAGAGGGUGAUCGGCCACACGGGAACUGAGACACGGACAAGACUACUACGGGAGGCAGCAGUAGGGAAUCUUCCGCAAUGGGCGAAAGCAUGACGGAGCAACGCCGAGUGAGAGAUGAAGGUGUUCGGAUCGUAAAACUCUGUUAUUAGGGAAGAACAAAUGUGUAAGUAAAUAUGCACGGAUUGACGGUAACUAAUCAGAAAGCAACGGCUAACUACGUG
rnacentral:rRNA from 1 species